ACUUAAAAAAGUAUAAUGAAUAUUAUUUCUCUAUUUGUACUUUUUUUCUUCGUCUUCUUCAUGGUCUACUUUUUUUCUUCUUCAUCGACUCUUCUUCUUCUUUUCUUUCUCUAUCUAUCUCUUUCUUUAUCUUUCAGUCUUUCCUUGCAAAAUCAAACAUGAGAGACUUUGUCAAAAUCGUGUAGCUUCUGUAUUUUCCUUUACGGAGAAGCCUCUCUAGAUUUAAGUGACGAUUAGGCUUAUUCGAUUGGUUUCGGAGCGGCAGCGCUUGUGACUAACGGCGGAAGCUUGAGUGUAGCAGACAAUAACAUCUAGAGGUGAAAGAAGAAAAGGAUUUGUUCCCUCAAUCUUACAACCAAUCGAUCCAGCUUUUGCGAUGAUUCUUCAAUUCUAUGAAUAGAAUUUAGAGUUUUGUUAGAUUGUGUAAAUAUCUGAUUCAUAUUUGCGAAAUUGUGCUUGUGAAGACGAUGAGAUCGGUUGCAGAUCGAAAGUUCCUCUUUCCUUACUCUCCUUUGUUUCAGAUCUGUUGCAAGAAGGCGACGAGAGAGGCGGUGAUAACGUAACGUGAGACGUUACUCGACUUACUUAAUUUGGAUUUUGAAAUUCCACCUGAGAAUUUAAACUCUCUCCCGAAAAAGAAGAAGAAAUGGCAGCGUACAUGGAAGAGAUUCCGUGAGAACAAAAAUUGUUCGGAGUAACCUCGAUAUUACGGGGUUACGGAGAUGCGAGAUCCUCGUUACUCCGUUCUAUUCCAUGGAGCACCAGAUUGGCAAAUUCCAGUAUUGAAUUUCAUAUCCAUAUGAUCAGCUUGUUUGGUACCAUUUGAUUCUAGCUUGAUAAAUUGAUGUUUCGUUGAACCUCUAAGCUAAGAGCACUUUACUUCGCACAUGAGAAUAAAUCAUUUCCACAUGGUCACAUCUUGUUGGACAAGUUUUCAUGGACACAAACUAUCAAAGCAUCCAACACGAUUUCAUUAUGUAUAAACUAAUAAUCCUAUAGGUCUCCAAGCCCCAAGAACAAUAUGUUGACAUUGCUUUCAAAUAGCAACCUUCAAAACCCAAUUAGUUAAUGAUAGUUUGUAUCCAUUAUAACUUGUCCAAUUAAACUUUAACAUGUGGAGUAAUGGUGAAACAUGACAAACACUUGAACACAAAUGAUUCAUGUGUAGAGCUUUCAUCAAUUUUCUAUCGAAUGAAAAAGAGUGUCAUGGUGAUGCAAGAAUCACAACUUAGUCAAAACAAAUCAUGUGUCUUUUUCUUAUUCAACACAGUAUCCACAAUAACAAUACAUUACUUACACAAAAGAACGAGACCCAUCAAACAUGCUUUCAUAUAAAGACAAAACCAUACCAACUAAAACCCAAAAUCUUAUUAACAUGCUUUCUUUCACGUAUUCUUUUCUCUGCAUUUGUUAUUCUUACAAAUCCAUAAUAAUGUGUCCAUUUCAAAUGUGUUCAUACGGAAUCUUGUUUACUAAGCAUAUCCAUCACCCCAAGUCCAUACAACCAUGUCUACACCGUUGUAGAAUCACAAUACACAAUUUCUAUAAAAAGCAUAAGUAAUAACCACCAAUUUCAAAAACUAUGUCCACUACGGUGCUUUGCGUUUAUAUUCUAACCCUUUACAAGUAGCCAUCCACUAGCGACCAUUCAAUGUUGACCAUAUAGUUGUAGGGAUCAAUUACAAUUUUCUUGUAAAUGGUUAGAGUUAUGACCAUAUGAUGUAUCAUUGUACAAUGCGCAAACAAAAGAAAGUGCUAAUUUACCGAGCUAUAAACACAUUCACAGCAAAUCAAAGACAUAGUUGUUGUCCAUUGAUGACAGUCCAAAAAAUGUAGUCCAUAUGGUUAUCUAAUGAUUCACAUGGUAGUUUUAUACCAAUAAACAAGUCUAUACAUGACCAAUAAACGCCAAUCCAAAGUACAUUAUCCAUUUUUCUUUGACCAUUUAUUCACUUGUGUAUAAACAAUCCCAUCAGUAGGACAAUGUCAGUUAUAUAACUUUUAUAAAGAAUUUAACGAAGAUCUUAUCACUCUCAAUGAAGACCAUUAGUUCACUUGGAUAAACCCGUCUAUACUAAUCAUUUGUAAUAGGUAUAAGAUAGAAGGAUGUGUCCAUUGCCAUAAACUACAGAUUUUUAUUCAAUAGAAAUUCAACAAAUAUACAUCUAUUGUAUAACGUCAUAACUCACAAAAGUUACUUUGAUUUUCAUCGUGUCUCAACCUCUCGUUUAUUUCUUCAUCUUGACUUUGAAUUAGAAGUGAUUACUCUAAGGAAAUCAAAUCAAUCAGAAACAAUACUUUCAAAUUUAUAGAUCUGAUGUCGAAUAAGAUUAAGAACUUUCUAAUUUUGUAUAUCAGAGAUACCAGAGUAAUUAGGAGCAGAGAGGCACCAAACGAAGCGACGAAUAAGGCAUAAAGCUCCCUCCGCCACCGCCACCACCAACUACGCCAUCAUGUCUUGAUUAGCUUUUCAAAAACAAUCAUAGCAAGGAAUCAAAGCAAAUAUGUCGGAGAUUAGAAGAUAAAGCCCUCAUUUUUGAACUUUGAUUUUUCGUAAAAGAUUUGAUAUUGGUUUUGGAAAUAGAAAAAUAAAAACGAUGGAGAAGCGCUGAGAAGAUAUGACAAAGAGAAUGAGUUUGCAGUUAAAAAGGGUAAAUUGGACAAUUUGGUUUGGCAAAGUGCCUUAUCUUUUCAAAGUGUCUAAAUCCGUACAUAGUUUUUUAAAAGUGCCCUAGAAUGUAAUAUUCUCUUUAUUUAAAUAUUUACGGGUUUUUCUAAAAGAUUUUGUUAAUUUAUUGCAAUGCCUUUUGCACUUCUGAACGGUUAUGUCUAUUGAAUGCAACUUUUUUAAAGAAUAUUAUAGUUAUUUUGUGGUUAUAUCCUUUUAUUGCAUUUUUUUUGCUAAAAUAUUUACGGUUAUUUUGUUACCCUUGUCUUAUUAUCUUAUCUCUUCUUUAAACUAUUGAAAAAUUCUUUCUAAUGCCCUUUUCAAUUCUACCCUUUUCUAUUUACCAUUUUCAUUUAUACCCUAUUUAAAUUUUUAAUGACCAUUUUACCCCUAUUUGUAAAUUGAUUUAGGUUAACAAAAUGAAAUAUUAAUAUUUUUCGCCUAAAAUAUUCCAAAAUAAAAUUUCCCGCCAAAAAUUUUCGAAAAAAAAUUUCCCGUCAAAAUUUUUUUUCAAAAACAUUUUCCCGCCAAAAAACUUCGGAAAAAAUUUUCCCGCCAAAAAAUUUCGUUAAAAAAAUUUCCAGCCAAAAGAAAAUUUCAAAAACAUUUUUCCCGUAAAUUUUUUUUU
rnacentral:sRNA from 1 species